rnacentral:rRNA from 1 species
AUUGAACGCUGGCGGCAGGCCUAACACAUGCAAGUCGAGCGGAUGAAGGGAGCUUGCUCCUGGAUUCAGCGGCGGACGGGUGAGUAAUGCCUAGGAAUCUGCCUGGUAGUGGGGGAUAACGUCCGGAAACGGGCGCUAAUACCGCAUACGUCCUGAGGGAGAAAGUGGGGGAUCUUCGGACCUCACGCUAUCAGAUGAGCCUAGGUCGGAUUAGCUAGUUGGCGGGGUAAAGGCCUACCAAGGCGACGAUCCGUAACUGGUCUGAGAGGAUGAUCAGUCACACUGGAAUGGGGACACGGUCCAGACUCCUACGGGAGGCAGCAGUGGGGAAUAUUGGACAAUGGGCGAAAGCCUGAUCCAGCCAUGCCGCGUGUGUGAAGAAGGUCUUCGGAUUGUAAAGCACGUUAAGUUGGGAGGAAGGGCAGUAAGUUAAUACCUUGCUGUUUUGACGUUACCAACAGAAUAAGCACCGGCUAACUUCGUG